UCUGGUCUGCUGAGUUUCAGUGGACAAGUCUGUUACUACUCUUAUGUGUCUACCCUUGUAGGUUAAGGCUCAUUUGUCCCUAGCUGCUUUCAGAAAUCUCUCUUUAUCUUUGUAUUUUGUCAGUUUCACCAUGCUAUGUCAUGGUGUUGACCUGAUUUUGUUGAUUCUGAAAGGAAUUCUUUGUGCCUCCUGGACUUGGAUGCCUGUUUUGUUCCCCGGAUUAAGGAAGUUCUCAGCUAUAACGUGUUCAAAUAAACCUUCUGCUCUUUAUCUUUCACUUCUUCUUCUGGAACUCCUAUCAUAUGGAUAUUAAUUAAUUUCACUGAAUUACUUAGGUCUCUAAUUCUCCUCUGGAGGUCUAGUAAUUUCCUUUCUCUCCUUUUCUCAGCUUAAUUUUACCCUUCUCAAUGAUUUCACCUUCUAUUUCACCCAUUCUCUCCUCUGCUUCUCCCAUUCUUGCUGUCACUACAGCUAGUUUAUUUUGCACCUCAUAUACAGCAUUUCUGAAUUCAUCGUGACUAUUUCUUAAUUCCUUGAUCACUAUAGCAAUAGAUUCUCUGCUGUUUUCUACACUUUUUGCAAGC